GCCUAACACAUGCAAGUCGAACGGGCAGUCGCAAGACUGUCAGUGGCAGACGGCUUGAGUAACGCGUGGGUGACGUACCUGUUGGUGGGGAAUAACUGCCCGAAAGGGUGGCUAAGUCCGCAUACGUCCUGCAGUUCGUGCUGCAGGAGAAAGCUUCGCAAGAGGCGCCGAUGGAGCGGCCCGCGUUCGAUUAGCUGGUUGGUGGGGUAACGGCCUACCAAGGCGACGAUCGAUAGCUGGUCUCAGAGGAUGAUCAGCCAGACUGGGACUGAGACACGGCCCAGACUCCUACGGGAGGCAGCAGUUAGGAAUUUUGGGCAAUGGGCGCAAGCCUGACCCAGCAACGCCGCGUGGGUGACGAAGGCCUUCGGGUUGUAAAGCCCUUUUCUGAGGGAAGAUCGUGACGGUACCUCAGGAAGAAGCACCGGCUAACUACGUGCCAGCAGCCGCGGUAAUAC
rnacentral:rRNA from 1 species